AUAUACCAGUUGACAGGGCUCACGAUUGCUUGAUACAAAGCCGGACAAGCUCCGAGCUAUGUAUCAAGACGAGUAUCGUAGACGGUCAAGAUCCCAAGCUAAAAAGAUUAGACGGCUGCGGAGUGAACUCGGUCUCGGAUGUUAAAUGUUUAUAGGCAAAGGAAAGAAUCGAACGAUCAUUCGACUUCAGUGUUCUUUUCCAAAAUAUGAAUCUGCUUAAU
rnacentral:sRNA from 1 species